rnacentral:misc_RNA from 1 species
GAAAUGCGAUACGUAAUGUGAAUUGCAGAAUUCAGUGAAUCAUCGAAUCUUUGAACGCAUAUUGCGCUCUCUGGUAUUCCGGAGAGCAUGCUUGUUUGAGUAUCAGUAAACACCUCAACUCCCUUUUCUUUUUUGAAAUGGGAGCCAAUUGAGCCGUGAGGGAUGCUUGAAAUACAGGUUCGGGCUGACCAAAUGUCCUGGGCUACAAGCAUUUCAUACUUGAUCCCGUUAAACCGGAUCAUUUCCAUUGCUGCAGCCAUCACAAACAGGAUCAAACGUGUCCAGUGUUUCCGACUGAUGCAGGAAGUUGGAGCCAACACAGAGAGAUCUGUGUGUAGGUUCUUUCUAACUCGAUCUCAAAUCAAGUAAGACUACCCGCUGAACUUAA